CCUACGUGGUGCUGCAGUGGGGAAUAUUGGACAAUGGGCGAAAGCCUGAUCCAGCCAUGCCGCGUGUGUGAAGAAGGCCUUCGGGUUGUAAAGCACUUUCAGUGGGGAAGAAAGCCUUGGGGCUAAUACCCUCGAGGAAGGACAUCACCCACAGAAGAAGCACCGGCUAACUCCGUGCCAGCAGCCGCGGUAAUACGGAGGGUGCGAGCGUUAAUCGGAAUUACUGGGCGUAAAGCGCGCGUAGGCGGUCUGAUAAGCCGGUUGUGAAAGCCCCGGGCUCAACCUGGGAACGGCAUCCGGAACUGUCAGGCUAGAGUGCAGGAGAGGAAGGUAGAAUUCCCGGUGUAGCGGUGAAAUGCGUAGAGAUCGGGAGGAAUACCAGUGGCGAAGGCGGUCUUCUGGACUGACACUGACGCUGAGGUGCGAAAGCGUGGGUAGCAAACAGGAUUAGAUACCCUUGUAGUC
rnacentral:rRNA from 1 species